rnacentral:lncRNA from 1 species
UAUCAAACUAGAAAAGCCUUCAGCUAUUACAGCACCUUGAGCCUCUGUGGAYGAUCUCUGAGAAAAAGCAAUGAUUCCUAACCUGACUGCCCAGGUAGGUAGGCAGUUCUGCCUCUUUUCUCUCCAACACAACACAGGAAUCCUUCUGCAGCACUCAGCUCUUCAGAGGCAUUACAAGGCUGCUUCUCACUGCUUCUGGAGGAGUAGUGAUCUUUGUCUUCCCCUGAACAUAGCCUCCAAAGCACCAUCCAUCUCUGGGACCACACUGCUGCCUUGCAGUCCAGAUACACCUGGUGGUGUCCUAACGUAUCCAGCAGGGUUGAACAUGCCGUUAGAUCACUAAAAUGACUGAGGAUAAAAGCCAAAGACUUUGAAGAAUUUUCCUGGAAAAAGAAAAAAGAAAAGGAAAACUCUCCAAAACCUCUGCAUGAAAUAAACCCAUUAAAAUUGAACA